GGGCGCGUCCUGGUUUCGACAGGGUUUGCUGAAGGUGUGGUUGCGAGCCGAGGUGGGCUGGCCUCGUUAAAAAGCCCAAACGCCUUAACUGGCAAGAAUGUUUUGAGCUUCGGUGGCAACACCGACCUCGCACUGGCUGCUUAAUCCCAGCCGAGCCGCUUAGAGACCCGGCAGUUGGUUUCUAACCCGCUUAACUAAAGACUGCUAGCCCCCGCGAUGCCUCGUGGCGACGGGCGAACCAAACGAGGAUGGGUCUCGAGAAAGCCUGCUUUCGGGCGCGCUCCUGACCGACUCUCAAAACGAAAGCUACGCUCGUAGACGCCGCUGGACGGGACUUUGGACAAGGGUUCGAUUCCCUUCGCGUCCACCA
rnacentral:tmRNA from 1 species